AGACCCGAAACCCGGUGAUCUAGCCAUGGGCAGGUUGAAGGUUGGGUAACACUAACUGGAGGACCGAACCGACUAAUGUUGAAAAAUUAGCGGAUGACCUGUGGCUGGGGGUGAAAGGCCAAUCAAACCGGGAGAUAGCUGGUUCUCCCCGAAAGCUAUUUAGGUAGCGCCUCGUGAAUUCAUCUCCGGGGGUAGAGCACUGUUUCGGCUAGGGGGCCAUCCCGGCUUACCAACCCGAUGCAAACUGCGAAUACCGGAGAAUGUUAUCACGGGAGACACACGGCGGGUGCUAACGUCCGUCGUGAAGAGGGAAACAACCCAGACCGCCAGCUAAGGUCCCAAAGUCAUGGUUAAGUGGGAAACGAUGUGGGAAGGCCCAGACAGCCAGGAUGUUGGCUUAGAAGCAGCCAUCAUUUAAAGAAAGCGUAAUAGCUCACUGGUCGAGUCGGCCUGCGCGGAAGAUGUAACGGGGCUAAACCAUGCACCGAAGCUGCGGCAGCGACACUCAGGUGUUGUUGGGUAGGGGAGCGUUCUGUAAGCCUGCGAAGGUGGCCUGUGAGGGUUGCUGGAGGUAUCAGAAGUGCGAAUGCUGACAUAAGUAACGAUAAAGCGGGUGAAAAGCCCGCUCGCCGGAAGACCAAGGGUUCCUGUCCAACGUUAAUCGGGGCAGGGUGAGUCGACCCCUAAGGCGAGGCCGAAAGGCGUAGUCGAUGGGAAACGGGUUAAUAUUCCCGUACUUGGUGUUACUGCGAAGGGGGGACGGAGAAGGCUAUGUUGGCCGGGCGACGGUUGUCCCGGUUUAAGCGUGUAGGUGUGUGUUCCAGGUAAAUCCGGUUCACUUUAACACUGAGGCGUGACGACGAGGCACUACGGUGCUGAAGCAACAAAUGCCCUGCUUCCAGG
rnacentral:rRNA from 1 species